rnacentral:lncRNA from 10 species
CGCUUCUCGCAGGCGGCGCGCUUGCUGGGUCACAGUGAGGCGGCUCCGCGCAGGCGCAGCCGGGCGGGCGAGGAGCGGGGAAGCUGACUCAGGGCUGCGGCCGGGGUCCUGCGGGGUAGGAGCGCGAGGCCGGCCUGAGGGAGGAGGCCUAGCGACCCAUCCGGCGCCUCCCGCCCCGGGCACCCGCCCGCGGCCGCGCAUCCUGCGGGCCCCAGGAGGCCUCCAUCUCAAAACAACGUGUUUUUAGGCUCUGCCCAGGCCCGGACUCCCACCUUUCAAGAUGUCUGGAUCAGUGCAGGACCUCCUCCUUGGCCACAUCGCUCUCCUUGGACUGUGUUGACUCACCUGUGGAGUGGUCUGAGCCUGAAUGCCCGGGGCUGUGGCCACCGAGUGAACGGGCUGUGCUAAGGGGAAUUGCCACCUUGGGAAACCUGUGUAGUUGCGGCUUUUCUGAUUAAGUAUCAAUAAAAGUCUGACCUUGUGAAAAAAGCAAACGUGAGUGGCCCUGCUUAUGUUUCACCUUGCGUUGCUCAGUGAUAGUUCUGCAAAGUCGCAGGAAACCUGGAAUCAUCUAAUUAUCGUGAGUGUUGGCACAUGACAGCCUUCUUGCAAUCAAGAAACUACGUGUGGCCAGGAUCUCAUCCACUAUCACAGUUUCAGCUUUCCCCAAACUGGAAUGUGUCUUUGCAGACGCCCAUCCUUAUUAAAGGGCAAAGACUUCUCAUACACCUAGGAUGGAUCUUAUAUUCUUGGCGGGACUGCAGAGAAGGUGCCGUGUCCUGAGUCCUCAUGUCAGGGCACAGGCUUCCAGCCAGUUCUACCUGGGUUAUGUUUAUCUCAAUUCCCUGGUGGUAUUGGUGUCUGCUGGGUUUUGCCAGAAUGAAGACACCGUGUUUUCAUUUGUCAGUUGAUUCGUAUUUUCCAGGAAGACAUUCUGAGAUUACAGCAUUGUCUUAGUCAAGGUGCUGCAGAAGGACAGAACUAAUAGGAUAUAUGUACAUAUGAAAGAAAGUUUAUGAAGAACUGGCUCACACCAUCACAAGGCAAAGUCCCAUGACAGGCCAUCUGCAAGCUGAGGAGCGAGGAAGCCAGCAGUGGCUCAGCCGGAGUCCAACAGCCUCAAACGGAAUCCAACAGUUCAGGCUUCAGUCUGUGGCCAAAUGCCCAGAGACCCCGGAAAGCUACUGGUGUUAGUCCCAGAGCCGGAAGGCCAAAGAACCUGGAGUGUGAUGUCCAAGGGCAGGAGGAAUGGACAGAAGCAUCCAGCAUGGGGUAAAGACGAAAGCCAGAAGACUCAGCAAGCUAGCUUACCUACUUUCUUCUGCCUGCCUUGUUCUAGCCGCGCUGGCAGCCGGUUGGAGGGUGCCCACCCCCACUGAGGGUGGAUCUUCCUCUCCUAGUCCACUGACUCAAAUUUCAGUCUCUCUGGGAGCACCAUCACACCAGAAACAAUACCAGCCAUCUAGCCACCCUUCAGUUCACCAUCACAACCAUUGUCUUAUUCAUGAAACUUCUGCAGACCCACCUUAACCUCCAUCGGUGACUUCUACCUGAAGCCCUCUGAUUGUUGCCCAGUGGUGCUUUUUAAAAUAAUUUCCAUAGUUUCUUCUACACCUUUAGUUGGCAUUCUACUGUAAAGGAGAGAUUUUAUUUUCUUACUCAUUUAUUUGUUAGUUUAUAGUCACCACCAUAUGGAUGCAGAGUUCUGUCUCAUUCACUGGGAAGUAUUCUAUUGCAGUCAUGAUUUAUUUUGAUGUUCACAUCCCAGAGUUGGUGAGUGAGCGCCCCUUCACGCUGGCUCCCGAGUGCUGACGUGUCCCCGUCCUUCUCUGCACUUUUCCUUACCUCCUGGCCUCAGAUAUUCCAGGGUCAUUUGUUCUCUCCCUGCUCCAACCCUGCAGUCAGCCAUCUCCCUAGGGACGUUGGUUCCUUUAUGGAAGGUGGCAUUUAGAAGCCAGGAUUUGGGCUGAGCACUGUGGCUCAUGCUUGUAAUCCCAGCACUUGGGGAGGCCGAAGUGGGCGGAUCGCUGGAGGCCAAGAGUCUGAGACCAGCCUGGCUAACAUGGUGAAACCCUUCCCCGUCUCUACUACAAAUAAAAAAUUAGCUGGGUGUGUUGGCACGUGCCUGUAAUCCCAGUUACUCAGGAGGCUGAAGCACCAGAAUCUCUUGAACCCAGGAGGCCGAGGUUGCAGUGAGCCAAGAUUGCACCACUGCACUACAGCUUGGGUGACAGCGCGAGACACCGUCUCAAAAAGGAUAAUAAUUUAAAAAACAGCAGGAUUUGGGUGAGCAGUGCGCUCAUUGCUUCUGGGCUCUCUCGGUGGACAUAGGCUAGGAAUGUAAGAUGUAUGUGCCUGUGUAUAUACACACGUCUGUAGCUAUGUCUAUGUUGCAUACAUGUGUUUUUCCAAAAACCAAAUCCAUAACCAUGCCUUCAGUUUCAGCCCAACACCUCCGGGCUCUUUCUAGCUUUCUACCUUUCAUGAUUGUGAAUACCUUCUCCAGCAGUGAGAAACCUGGCUCCUUUGUCCUCAGUGGAUUUUCUUAUUUGCUCAAUUUUUUUGUUUUUUGUUUUGUUUUUGUUUUUGAGACAGAGUCUUGUUCUGUCACCCAAGCUGGAGUGCAGUGGCAUAAUCUCGGCUUACCGCAACCUCUGCCUCCUGG